rnacentral:rRNA from 1 species
AAACCAGCACCUCAAGUGGUCAGGAUGAUUAUUGGGCCUAAAGCAUCCGUAGCCGGCUCAGUAAGUUUUCGGUUAAAUCUGUACGCUCAACGUACAGGCUGCCGGGAAUACUGCAGAGCUAGGGAGUGGGAGAGGUAGACGGUACUCGGGAGGAAGUGGUAAAAUGCUUUGAUCUUUCGAUGACCACCUGUGGCGAAGGCGGUCUACCAGAACACGUCCGACGGUGAGGGAUGAAAGCUGGGGGAGCAAACCGGAUUAGAAACCCCAGUAGUCC